rnacentral:lncRNA from 1 species
GUUUCUCUCUAGAUACUUUUCUAGCCACUUAUUUACAUGUAUGUGCACACCUGCAUGGUUCAGUUUUGUUUUCUUCUGCUAAAAUGGGAUCAUACCACCUGUAUUACUGUGUGAUUCAUUUAAUAUUUCUAGGCAAUCUUUUAAUGUCAGUACACAUAGAUUUACCUCAUUCAUUUUCAGCCGUUCCACAGAAUUCCACAAGACAGACAUGAUUUACUUAACCACUCACCAUCUAAUGAAUAUUGUUUCCUAAUUUGUCAUCAUCACAAAUAAUGCUGCUGCUCUAAGGAACACUCUUAUAUAUGUAAAUAAGCAUUUACAGAGUUUAUAAAAAUUGGCCAGGUGUGGUGGCUCACACCUGUAAUGCCAACAUUUUGGAAGGCAAAGACAAGUGGGUCACUUGAGCCCAGGAGUUCGACACCAGCCUGGGCAACAGAGGGAGACCCUGUCUCUACAAAAGUUAAAAAGAAAACUAGCUAGGCAUGGUGGCACAUGCCUGUAGUCCCAGCUACUCAGGAGACUGAGUUGGGAGGCUCCCUUGAGCUCAGGAGUUCAAGGUUGCAGUGAGGCGUGAUUGCACCCUGCAUUCCAGCCUGGGCAACAGAGUAAAACCCUGUCUCAAAAUAAAAUGGCAGGGGGUGUGGGGAAUAUUUACAUCAUAAUAGUAACCAAGUUUCAACUACAUAAAAUAUACAUAGCAGAAAAGGACAGAAAACAAAAACAAAAAAGUCCCCAAGAUAAUAACAGUGGUUGUUUCUGGGUAGUGGGAUUAUAAUUUUUUUUCCUUAGUUUCUAUGUUUUCCUGUAUUUUCCAAAUUCUCUCUAAUGAACAAGUAUUACUUUAUAAUUGGAGAAGAGUAAAAUUAAUUUUUAAAUAAUAAGAAUAAUUAUUAUUCUAUUAUUUAUGUGAUGGGAAAGGGUAUAUCAGAAAGCUAUUGAAAGAAGUACAGCAAAUAUUAGCAGCUGUCAGAAUUGGAUGAUGAAGGAAGUAACCCAACUAGCAACAGCACUAAUACACUUAACGAGGCAUCCUGAGUCAGGGAUAAUCAGUUCCCAAGUGUGAAAGAAUGGUGGUUACAACUAAAAUGGCAUGUUAGUAAACAUGCUAAAUCAGCUAGCAAAUCCAAGAGAAAUAACAACGUAUAUUCAUGCAAAAACCUGCAUGGUGUUCACAGCAACAUUAUCCAUAUUAGUUCCAAGAGUGGAACCUUCCCAGAUGUGGAUAAACAAAAUGUGCGUAUUCACACAUGGAAUAUUAUUUAGCCAUAAAAAAGAAUGAAGGAUGAACCUUAAGAACAUUAUGGUAUGUGAAAAUAGCUCAUGAAAUGCUACAUGUUGUAUGAUUCCACUUAUAUGAAGUGUCUAGAAUAAGUCAAUCCAUAGAGACAGAAAGCAGAUCAGUGGCUGCGUACAGCCACAGGGAUUGAGAAGAAAUGGAAAAUGACAGCUUACAAGUGAGCAGUUUUUCUGGGGGAUGAUAAAAAAAACGCUCUGAAAUUAAAUACUGGUGAUAGUUGCACAACUCACUUAAUAUACUAAAAGCCAGUGAAUUGUACACUGGAAAAGGGUGAAUUUUGUGGCAUAUGAAUUAUAUCUCAAUAACUUAUUAAAAAUAGCUAGUAAUAAUGAAUUUAGUUUAUAGACAUGUUAACUUAGAUGAUAAAAAAUUUAGCUUGUAGUCUACUAUAUAUAAAAGGAUACAGAAAAUUGUUUUCAGUGACGAAUUAACCAGGUAUAAACUUUCUUUUCUUCCUAUCCUGGUGAUAUCAAAGGAGAAACAAUUAAACAAUAUAUAAAUAAUUUCAUCACUGGAAAUUAAUAAAAAUUAAGAAAGAGCAAAAGCAAAACUAAACCAAGACAAUAUAAUCUAACUUGAAUAAAUGUCUUUUUUGAUGAGAAGAAAGAACAGUUUAAAAAUUAAGAUUACCAGGUGCAGUGGCUCAUGCCUGUAAUCAUAGCACUUUGGGAGGCUGAAGUGGGAGAAUCACUUGAGCCUAGGAGUUCAAGACCAGCCUGAGCAACAUAGUGAGACCUCGUCUCCACAAAAAAUUAAAACAAAUAAAAACAAAAACAAAACAGUUGGGCAUGGUGGCCUGAACCUGUGGUCCCAGCUACUCAGGAGGUUGAGGUGAGAGAAUCACUUGAGCCCAGGAGGCUGAGGCUGCAGUGAGCCGUGAUUGUGUCACUGCACUCCAAUGUGGGUGACAGAGUGCGACCCUGACUCAAAAAAAUAAUUAUAAUAAUAAUUAAGAUAACGGAGGCAGGCUCGGUGGCUUCAGCCUGUAAUCCCAGCUACUCGGGAGGCUGAGGUGGAAGUACUGCUUGAGCCCAGGAGCUCAAGACGACAGUGAGCCAUGACUGUGCCACUGCACUCCAACCUGGGCAAUAGAGAGAGACCCCAAUCUCUAAAAGAGGAAAAGAAAAUAAAAUAAUUAAAAAAUUAAGAUUAUGGGCAAAAUUUAGAAUCAAUAAAGUAUUUAACUACAGAUGCUCCUGGGUGAUGCACACAUAAUUUAUGCAAAUUCCACCUCAUGCAAACUGCUACACAUAAGGCACAUGAUCAAGUUUGGCAAUGCGGGAAACUCUGCGUGGAAAUGCAAAGUGAAGCACCCCAAGGCAGGUGGUUGAAUGACAAGAAGCAAAACCAUAAAGUGCCCUGUGGCCACGGGCAGACGAAGGCUUCAGUUGCUGGGCCAUGUCUCAUCCCUCAGGGCUAUUUCAGCAUUAUUUAUGUUAUCCCCUCCCCGCUCUCUUUUAUGGAGCUCUGAUGAUGACGAAGAAAGGACCAAGCAAUAGUCAGAGUGCAGAACCAAUUCAGAAGCCACGAACACUUUCUAGAUUUAAAGCAAAACUCCAAAGCCUCAAGGAAAUCUGACCAAAUCCACCUUUCACUGCACUUGGACUUGAUUUGACUACUUCCAUAAUGAAAAUAUUUUUGGAAGGCACAGAUAAAAAGUGACACCAAGAGGUCCUGCCACAUUCAAAUCCACAAAGAUCAAAUGAAGCCUGGCUCAAGUCCCAUUCUGAAAUGGGAAAGUCAAUACCUGAAAAAGAAUAAAACUAAAAAAUGUGUGCUGCUUAGAGUAAUGAUUCAGUAAGGGCUAGAAAAUCUGCUUGAAGACAUAAAGUGCAGCAAGACAAGACAAGUGUCAUAGUUUUAAAACUCAUGCCAAUGUUCAGAACAGGAAAGCCAGUGAGCAGGCUGCUAGUUUGAUAAUAAAAGUGGCAGUAAUAUAUCUCAAAGAAUUGUAAAAGAUAUUAGAGAAAAAUGUGGUUAUAUAACAAGCACAAUAAAUCUUUGAUUUUGAUGGAACUUAAUUUUUUUUUUCUUGGAGACAAAGUCUCACUCUGUCACCCAGGCUGGAGUACAGUGGCAUGAUCAUAGCUCACUGCAGCCUUGACCUCCUGGACUCAAGUGAUCCUCCCACCUCAGCCUCCCAAGUAGCAGGGACCACGGGUAUGCAUCACCACAUCCAACUAAUUUUUGUAUUUUUUGUAGAGAUAAGGUUUUGCCAUGUUGUACAGUCUUGUCUCGGACUCCUGGAUUAAAAUGAUCUGCCCGCCUCGGCCUCCCAAAGUGCUGGGAUUGCAGGCAUGAGCCACUGAACCCACCUGAAACUAGAUUUAAAAAACUAACAAGCAAACAAAAAAACAAGCCAAAAAAAAAAAAAAACUUAAAAAGUUAGACAAGGCAGUUAUUUCAAAAGAAGAAAGUGUCAGAGUUUAAGGCCACAAAAGGUUAACUGAGCCUUCUGUUUCAGGAUAACAUAGCAGAAGAUUAUGCAUGAAAUCUUGGCUUGCUUAUCACUCAGAAAGACAAUGAGUAUUUAAUAUAUUUUUAGCUCACAAAAAAUCCUGAUUGUGCAAAACCAUGUGAAAGAGUUACAUAAAUCAGGGGAUCCUCUCCAUUAGAAUUAUUCUGAUAAAUUUCAAUUUCACUAGAAUCUCCUGGAAUAAAUAUUUUGGCAUUUAAAGGAACAGAUCGCAUAAUUCAAGUACAUUGGUCAUGUUUUCAGAUUUCAAUAUUUCCUACAUUGUAGUUAUAAUUCUUUGUUUAUUUGUUUUUGAGACAGAGUCUUGCUGUGUCACCCAGGCUGGAGUACAGUGGCACGAUCAUAGCUCAUUGCAAGCUCAAACUCCUGGGUUCAAAAGAUGCUCCCGCCUCAGCCUCCAGAGAAGGUGGGACUACAGACCCGCACUGCCAUGACCAGUUCAUGUUUUAAUUUUUAGUAGAAACAUAGUCUCACUGUGUUGCCCAGGCUGGUCUUGAACUCCUGGCCUCAGGUGAUCCUCCCUCCUUGGCCUCCCAAAGUGCCUGGAUUACAAGUGUGAGCCACCACGCCCAGCCAUAGCUACAAUUCUUGCUAACAUUCUAUGGGACAAAACCACAUUCAAACCUGUUAGGACAAUGUGGAGUACUCAGUGGUCCUUAAAUAGCAUCAGUGAAAGCUACCUACACCGAGGCUGGUUAGUGAAAGCUACCUAUAUAGAGGCUGGUUAACAACAGUGUUCCUGGGGCUCAGUUAUUGAAGAUAAAGUGAAAUUUCUUAUUCAGUGACAUGCUGGAGCUGCCCACAUCUUUUGCCAGCUCUUGAGUUUAGAAAUAGCACAUUGGUAGCUCAAAAUUAACCUUGACGGAAGUGUUUACACCACCCAAAUCAGCAAAUGCUAUAAAUCCGUGCUUUUUCUUUUUCUUUCUCUUUUAAGAGAAAAUUGAUUCUUAAACAUUUAUCACCACCCCACUAAUGACAUUCCUAAACUCUCUGGUGAAAGCUCCUAGCCCAUAAAACCAUUCCAAAGGUCCAGUAGAGACCAUACAUUGUUCUUCUAAGCUCUGCCCGCAUAUGAAUAUCCCAUCAACACCACAAAUUUGACAAAAUGUGUCUUCCCUCAAACUCUUAGUGAAAAGCAUCACAUUUACCGGCCACAAACUUGGAAACCAUCCUCCAUAACUCCUACUCCUUCCUCAGAUUUCAUCUCAUCUUAGUUCCUCAAAAUCUCUCUAAUUAAACCUCCCUCUCCAACCCUCGUUAGUGGGGUCCUCUUUGUCCCUUCCCAGUCCCUCCUCUUGGACACUCUAAUCCAUCCUCUACAUUCUUGCUGGGCUGAACUUCUUCUUCUUCUUUUUUUUUUUUUUUGAGAUAGGGUUUCACUGUGUUGUCCAGGCUGGAGUGCAGUGGUGCAAUUAUAGCUCACUGCAGCUUCAACCUCCUAGGCUCCAGUGAUCCUCUCAUCUCAGCCUCCCAAGUACCUAGGACUACAGGCAUAAGCCACCAUGCCAAGCUAACAUUUUGUAUUUUUUAAAGAGAUGGAGGUUUGCCAUGUUGACCAGGGUGUUCUCAAACUUCUGGGCUCAAGCGAUCCUACCGUCUUGGCUUCUCAAAGUGCUGGGAUUACAGACAUGAGCCACUGUGCUCAGCUGGGCUGAAUACUUUUUCUUUUCUUUUCUUUUUUUUUUUUUUUUUUGAAACAGAGUCUCACUCUGUUGCCCAGGCUGGAGUGCAGUGGCGCAGUCUUGGCUCACAGCAACCUCCCCCUCCUGGGUUCAAGUGAUGGACUGAAUACUUUUAAAAGCAUGAAGGAGUACACCACUCUCCUGCUUGACAGGCUUCAAUUACUCACCAUCAACUCUGAAAUAAAGUGCAAAUCCCUGGGCACAGUGGAAAAGGCCUUUUAGCAUCUGACUCUGGUCCACCCUCCACAUUCACCUCUUACCAAUCACUCCCUCGCUGUCAACCCCUCACUGAUUAUUGUUUGCCGAACACACCAGGCUCUCACCCUUGUGCCUCUAAUUCAUCCUAAGAGUCAACAGAGGCAUUAUCUACCCCCACAGACCAGCCUUCUUGUAUGCAUGUCUCCAGCCUAGCACUCAACACACCCAGGUUUUAAAUGGGCUUAACAGCCUAUCUCCCUGUCCAGGCUUUGAGCCCCUCGAGGGUCUUUAAUUUCUUUUUAUUCCUAGUACCUAGUUCUGAGCCUUUACAGAGAGGCCACUCCAAUUUGCAAAACAGGACUAGUACCAUUUGUACCUGAGAAGGUUGUUGGAAAGAUUGAAUGAGAUGAUGUAUGCAAGUAUCUGCAGCACGAUUCAUGGCACAAAAUACUGGUUCAUUUGCCCUGGAAAAGACCCCCGACUGAAGAAGAACUGUAUCUCCAUCAUAACCCUAUACUUUCAUCUAGCAAUCUGUAAUUUAAAAAGUUCAUCCAUCAUCCAAAUGGAGGUAGAAGGGAAACUGAUGAAAAUGUUUCAAUUACUGUAUCGUUGAAUUCAAAGAGUUUUUUUUUUCCCAGCUCCUUUCCCUGGUCCAGUAUUUGUUUAUCUGUGAGAAGGUAACCAGGCAUGAUGGGGUCCAUUCAGCUGAUCUUUAAAAUAGACUAUAAAUUCUCUAUUCACAAGAUUUUCGAACUUCUUUUUUAAAGCAGCAGCUCUCCUCUCUCCCCAAAUGCCAUCUUCUUAGAUGUCAGGUUGAACAUGGUGGUUGAAGGCAGUGCUGACCUAAGUAAAGCAGUGUCUAGAACAAUCUACCAGGCCUCCACUCACUGGGCAGUCCCCUGCAGAACCCAGAGGCUCUGAGGAACACACAUUUCAAAAUAAUCCCUCAUUUUACACAUGGGAAAACCAAGGCCCAGAGAGGUACAGAACAUUGCCCAAGGUUCUGGAAUUCAGUAAAGCCAAGCCUAAGAUCCAAGAUUCUUUCCACCACAUCAUAUGGCCUCCUUGGAGUCAAGGCCACAGUUGGUGACCUCAGGACAAAAGGUUGACAUUUCCUACACAUGACCAUUCGUCAUCCAUAAAUACUUAAUCGUACAAAUUUGAGAUAGGCAACUGGAAAUAUCAAUACAUUUAAUCUGUUUCCACUUGAUAAAGGUCAAAUGGAAGAGUAUUAAUAACCAGUCUUCCCUUAAGGGGAAAAAAAUUGUAUUCUCUGGCUGCCAAUAGAGGAACCACCCACCCAUAAGGUGAAUUUGUCAGUUUCUGGAGCAAAAAUAAAGGAAGUAAAAGAACUGCCUUCCUGAUUAUUCUAGAAGUACAGGAUAAGUAGCUCCAUUACUGCCAGGUUAAUGAAGCAUCUACUGGCAAAGAGUAUUCCUGCCACCGCACCCAUUUCCCCCUUCUUCCUUAAUUACAGACCUCUGAUUUUAUUCAGGGUAUCCCAGCUAAAAGACUGUAUUUCCCAGCUUUCUCUAAGAUAGUUAUGACCCCACAACUAAGUUCUGGCCAACGAAAUGUAAAUAGCCAUUGAGUAGAAUUUCUGGUAGGAUUUAAAGCCCUUUAAAGGGGUAUGACCAUUUGCCAUUUUUUUCUUUAUAUUCUCCUUUUCAGAGCCUGGAACUUGGAUGUGAUGGCUGCAGUGACAGCAGCUAUCUUGUUAUUUUGAGGAUGAUACCCUUGUACUAAGUUGUGCUAAGGAUGACAGAGCCCAUAAAGAGAAAAAGCUUCAGUUCCUGAUAAUGUCAUGAAGAAGCCAUCAAGAUAGGCCUGAACUGCCUACCUCUGGCUUUUUUUUUUUUUUUUUUUUUUUUUUGUCAGUCCUACUUACUCUGUCACCCAGGCUAGAGUGCAGUGGUGCAAUCAUGGCUCACUGCAGCUUUGACCUCCCAGACUCAAGCAAUCCUCCUGCCUCAGCCUCCUAAGUAGCUGGGACUACAGGUAUACAUCGUUAUGCCUGGCUAAUUUUUAAAAUUAUUUUUGUAGAGGAGGGGUCUUGCUAUGUUGCCUAGGCUGGUCUUAAACUUCUAGGCUCAAGUGAUCCUCCUGCUUCAGCCUCCCCAAGUGCUGGGAUCACAGGUGUGAGCCACCGUAUGUGUGAGAAUAAACCCUUAUAAUACGUGAGAAAGAAUGUUAUGUGAGAGAGUAAACCCUUACAACAUGAAUUUACAGUAGUUAGACUUCAGCAGCCAAACACAACCCCUAACCUUUACAGACCUUGACCUCAUUGGCAGAAGCUACAGAAGCCAUGCAGAGCUACUCAGGGAGAUGGGGUGACUCUGGGAAAGGAAGCAAUUCAUGGCAUGUCCUCCCCAACUCCUCAUCAGAUUUUCCAGAAUAAUUCUAGACCAGGUUAGAGGAGGGCAAACAUGCAAUCAGAUGAUCAGAAGUCUGACUUAUCAAAGGCAGAAAGAAUAAGCCUGUGAAAGCUGGUGUUAGAGUGACCAGGUUAGCGACCCUGCCUAGCUUCCUCCACUGUAGCUGACCAGGAGAGGGACCCCUUUUUGUACCUCUUCCAGGUUGCUGAAUUCCUGACGCAGGGCUGCCUUCAGAUUAGUGCAUUCUCUCCCACAUCUCAACGCUACCAGGCACUCCUUGGUCAAAUGUGGGACCUAAUCAGAGGACACAGGUUCUCAGUGGAGAAGUCUGUGGAAACUUCCAGUUCCUGUUCUGCCUGAAAAGGCAGCGAAGCUUUAUAACUCCAGCCUAACAGGGCAACACCCACAUCAGACCCCCCAGCUCCCUGUGAGAGGCACUAGGUUUUCUCUGUGGUUCCGGUUCUCAGUAGGAAUCUACUUCUUAUAGUACCCUGGGAAAGCAGGGUGCUUUAGGAGGGUUUCUCCAGUGCUCCUUACUUGAUCAGCUGCUUCCAUGCUAUACAUUCUUAGGUGGGACACUCAACCUCUCUAAGCCUCAGUGUUCUCAUCUGAAAAAUGGAUACGAUAGCAGUACCCACUUCAAAGGGCAGUUGGAUUAAAUGAGUUAGCUCCUACAAAGUAACUAGGACAGUGCCUGGCACAUCAUAAGUGUUCGAUAUAUGUCAGCUGUUAAUAUCAUUGAGGUUUUUAAAAAUUCCUUUUCAAAGACACCAUCUUAAAAUUUCUCCAUUCUUUUUUCUUUCAUUAUCAAAGCUGCCACCAUUUAUCUAUUCUUCACAUUUCCUGGACAGCAGGCACUCUUAUGCUUCUAAAGAGCAUCACUGGCCAGGCACAGUGGCUCACGUCUGUAAUCCUAGCACUUUGGGAGGCCGAGGCAGGCAGAUCACUUGAGGUCAGGAGUUCAAGACCAGCCUGGCCAAUAUGGUGAAACCCCAUCUCUACUAAAAAUACAACAAUUAGGGGGUGUGGUGGCAUGCGCCUGUAAUCCCAGCUACUCAGGAGGCUGAGGCAGGAAAAUUGCUUAAACCCAGGUGGCAGAGGUUGCAGUGAGCCGAGAUGGUGCCACUGCACUCCAGCCUGGGUGACAGAGCGAGACUCCGUCUCAAAAAAAAAAUAAUAAAAAAGCAUCACCUUCUAUGCAUAAUCUUCGCACUCCAUUACUUUUUACCUGAAGCUGGAGAAAUACUCCCUUUAAGGAUCACCAGUUUUCAGUUCUUUCAGUAUUCCUGCUUCAAGUUACACGGUCAUUGCCAUGUCAUAACCAUACCUCCUGAGCCUGCCAGUUGAAAUGGAGAAGCGCCUAGCAGUUAAGCCUUUAAUAUCAGUGGCCAUGCUCUACCCUAAUUCCAUGCUAGCUAAUCUCCUGAGGAUCACAUGGUAUCAAAACAAAACAGUUUCACCAAUGAUUUGGCUUUAAAAUGGGUUGAGGUUUGGGAAAGACAUGCAAAGUAAAAUACAGUGUGAGUGACUUUUUAAAUUGAAUAUACCUUACAAAAUAGCUCCAAUAACAUCUUUUGGCGAGCUCGUUCAUAAGGGUCAUAUGGAAACAGCUUCCUUCCUGGAUAAGCAUCAUCCAGGUUAAUGUUGACCACUUCAUGUC